GGACAGAGAGAGAGCGAGAGGGACGGAGAGACAGAGAGACAACGAGAGAGGGGAGAGAGAAAGAGGGAGAGGAAUACUGCAGAUAAUUCCCAGAAUGCUCUUCAGGAUAGCUUGUUACCAUGGGAAUUUCCAAGGGUCCCAGGAGUUAAUGAGGACCAUAUGUUGACAUGUCAUGUCAAACAGCACUAUGGGAACGGUAUCCAUGCCAAUCACAGGGGACAAGAUGGUCAUGUGAAAUGGAGGGAUGGACGCCCCCUACUGGCUGAACAAGAUAAUGAACGCCUUCAGUCCAUCAAAGUAAAAUGCCUGAGCUGUGGUUUAUAAUCUACGAAAUGGUGAAACAAUGGUGAAACCGUUUAGAUUCCCAGGCUGUGGUUUCUGCAUGGUUUCCUAGUGUAAUAUUCAUUAUAUCAAGCAAUCCACUAUCCAAGAUGUUCCUUCCCACUAUGCAUGUCAACACAGUGGGCUUGUGAUUCUAUUAAACAGUCAUAUUCACCAAUAA